rnacentral:rRNA from 1 species
UGGGGAAUAUUGGGCAAUGGGCGCAAGCCUGACCCAGCAACGCCGCGUGAAGGAAGAAGGUCUUUCGGGUUGUAAACUUCUUUUCUCAGGGACGAAGCAAGUGACGGUACCUGAGGAAUAAGCCACGGCUAACUACGUGCC